UACGUAGGGUGCAGGCGUUAAUCGGAAUUACUGGGCGUAAAGCGUGCGUAGGCGGUCCGCGAAGUCUGAUGUGAAAGCCCCGGGCUCAACCUGGGAACUGCAUUGGAAACUAACGGGCUCGAGUGUGGCAGAGGGGGGUGGAAUUCCACGUGUAGCAGUGAAAUGCGUAGAGAUGUGGAGGAACACCGAUGGCGAAGGCAGCCCCCUGGGCUAACACUGACGCUCAGGCACGAAAGCGUGGGGAGCAAACAGG
rnacentral:rRNA from 1 species